UUCUGGUGUUAUUACCAAAUAUUUAGCAGUAUGAAACCUAUAAUAUUAUAUACCAUACUGUAUACCCUAUUUUACUUAUAAAGUUAUUAAUCUGUAAAGUAAUUUGUAAAAAAUUUUCAAUUGUAAAAUUGCUACAUGAGAAGACAAGUUGUUAGAUGAAAUUCAAAUAUUCUCUAUGUUUGUGUUGUGUAGGUCAAAAAAUAAUAGAUGAAGAUGAUAUUGAUUGUGAUGACUAAGACUUCAUUUUAAGACACAUCAAUCUUUAUCAUUUUUAAAUAAAAAGGAUAAACAUUAUGGAUUUCCAUUAUCUCAAGCAAACUUUCAAUAUUGUGUGUUGCUUCUCUUAAAUGAGAUAAAAACCCAAGGAUGCAAAAAACUUAAUAUAAAAUAGUGUGAAGAAGAAGUAGUAACUGAAAUGAACAGUAUAAUAGAAUUUGAUAAGUUUGACUCAGCACUUGACAAUAUUUCGUCUAGUAACUCUGUAGUAUCUCUGCAGUUAAACAAAGAGUUCAAAAUAUUGGUGGUAAGAACUGUCAAAAACUUGUGAUAGCUAUGAUGAAGAGUUUUAUGACAAAUUCACUCAUGGCCAAAUCUAAUAUGGCAGCUGGAAAAAGCAAAGGAUCUUUUUAGUCUAACCAAGCUAUACAACUUAAUAAAAGUUUGUGCAUCGACUUCUCACGAAUCAUACACAGAGUCGAUUGUCGAUGCAAUAAUUACUGUUUCGUGAAAGCGGGCAACUUUUGCUUGUCUUAAAGUGCCUUAAAUCCAACAGAUAUCAUCGUUAUAAUAUUACUUUGUUUGUAAAUUGUUUUAAAAAAUAAAUUUAAAAAUAACUUUAAAA